UGUAGAGAACAUGGUUUUGUGAUUUUGUGUAUAAUCCAUUCCUCUUUUCAUCUCUCUGGAUAUUCCUGAGUUGCCCUUCCAUGUAGAUCUCGACGUCUGCGGCGAGCCUAGGGUCUUGGGAGCACAGUGACCAAUGCUCGUCCCACUGAAGGAAUGGCUUCAGUCUGCUUUAAACACUGGGCCACACCCAUAAUCUCUACACUUAAUCUCAGUGCUUACGUGAAGUCCAAAUCCUGUGUGAGUAAUAUUCAAAAUUAUUGUCUUGUUUUGCUCUAUGUUAUUGUAGUUUAGAGCAGAGGUCAGGUAUUCUGGAAAAAAAAAAAACAAAAUGAAAUCAGAGGCACUUUUAUUGUUAAUGAAUUACUGCGUUAAAUAACAAACAUGCACACACAUAUGACUAGAGAAGUGGUAGGCUAUCACGGACCAAUGAUGACAAUUCCCCUGCGGCGCUAUAAGUCAUGGACGAUGACUACAAUUAUGGGUGUCUGAGGUUCUUUCUCAUCAUAACACAUCUCAUUUGCUCCUGUUAGCCUGGAAAAACCAUUAGGCUUGUGGAGCACACACUCUUCAUUAGAAGCAUGCACUUUCGUGAAUUUUCUUAGUGGAUCAAUGACAUGCUGUAAAUAUUCACACAAAUACAAAUGUAAAUAAAUGUGGUGGCAUUGAUCAAUGAGUAGAUAAAUGUUUGACUACAAAUGCUACUACUUACUACUGCUUGUAGAUACUCUCGAAAUCUCUUAAAAGUUAACUGGCUUAAAGAUGUAUAUAAACUUGAUCCAAGUUCACCUAGGAAGUAUAAUUAAUGGACGAAGACCCAGUGAGGGUCAAGACCUUAAUCUUAUAGCUCACUUGAUUCCUUAAGACACUAUCAUAACAAUGUGACUCCUAAAUAACAAAUAGUGAAAGGAGAAAUGUAGAAAUCGUUUGAAAACUAUCAAUCUUUUUAUUAUCUUCUCUGCUGUGUAAUCCCUGGAUGGAUGAUGACUGCCACCUUGUUUCCUGGCUGGGAGGUCCACGGUUGCCCAGUCCUGAUGUGUAAGGAUCAAGGGAACUGAUCCUAGGGUCUUUGGAGCACAGUGACCAGUGCUCAUCCCUCAGAAGGAAUGGCGUCAGUCUGCUUUAAACCCUGGGCCACACCCAGAAUCGCUACACUUCCUCUCGGUGUUUACAUGGAGACCCAAAGCUAUGAUGAUGAUUGGCACCGUGUUUCCCGGCUGGGAGGUCCGUGGUUGCCCUGUCCCCAUGUGUAAGCAUCAAGGGAACUGAUAACCUUCAUCCAGUACUAAUGGAAGCAGAUGCAGAGAUCCACAGCUAAGCACUUUGUGGAGCUCCCGGUGUCCAGUUGAAGCAAAGGAGGAGAGAUUAUAUGAGCAAAGGGGACAAGAUCAUGAUGGGGAACCCCACAGAGACCUGAGCUAAUGGGAGCUCACUGACUCUGGACUGACAACUGAGGAACCUGCAUGGGACCCAACUAGGCCUUCGGAAUGUGGGUGACAGUUGUGUGACUUGGACAAUUUAUGGGGCCACUGGCAGUGGCACCAGGAUUUAUCCUUUGUGCAUGAACUGGCUUUUUGGAGCCCAUUCCCCGUGGAGGGAUGCCUUGCUCAGCCUUGAUGCAGCAGAGAGGGGCUUGGUCCUGCCUCACCUUGAUAUGGUGGACUUCCUUGACUCCCCGUGGGAGGCCUUACCCUCCCUGAGGACUGGAUAGGAGGCUGGGUGGAGGAGGAAAGAUGGAAGGUGGGUGGGAGCAGCGGGCGUGGAGGGUGGUGGGUGGGGUGGUGGUGGGAAAGGGAACUGUGGUUGGAAUCUAAUGUGAAAAAAGAACUCUUAAAUAAACAAAAAUUAAAAUCAAAAGAUAAAAUGGUGGUCAAAAUUCUUGUGAAGGUUAGAACCGGGGCUCCUGUGUACUUUCUCAAGAAGAAUGUAUCAACAUUUUAUAUUCGUAGAUGAGUGAGAUAAAAAAGAAACAACACAGAGGUCAUUGUAGAGAACAUGGUUUUGUGAUUUUGUGUAUAAUCCCUUCCUCUUUUCAUCUCUCUGGAUAUUCCUGAGUUGCCCUUCCAUGUGGAUCACGACGUCUGCGGCGAGCCUAGGGUCUUGGGAGCACAGUGACCAAUGCUCAUCCCUCAGAAGAAUUGGCUUCAGUCUGCCUUAAACACUGGGCCACACUCAUAAUCUCUACACUUCCUCUCGGUGUUUACAUGAAGACCCAAAUCUUGUGAUGAUGAUUGACAC